AUUUUCUCAGCCUUUUGGCUAAGAUCAAGUAUAGUAUCUGCUUCCAAAAUCAAGUGUUGACCAGGGAGAGGGAGGGUCAAGGUGUAAGAUUUCUUUGGCCAUUCUGCUGCAGCAUCAAGCAGGCUAAUAGGCAACAUUUGGAUAAAACCCUUUAAAACAUACAAUGUAUAGUAUAUAUAAAGGGUUUUAUCCAAAUUUU